rnacentral:rRNA from 1 species
UGGCUCAGGACGAACGCUGGCGGCGUGCCUAAUACAUGCAAGUCGUACGCUUCUUUUUCCACCGGAGCUUGCUCCACCGGAAAAAGAGGAGUGGCGAACGGGUGAGUAACACGUGGGUAACCUGCCCAUCAGAAGGGGAUAACACUUGGAAACAGGUGCUAAUACCGUAUAACAAUCGAAACCGCAUGGUUUUGAUUUGAAAGGCGCUUUCGGGUGUCGCUGAUGGAUGGACCCGCGGUGCAUUAGCUAGUUGGUGAGGUAACGGCUCACCAAGGCCACGAUGCAUAGCCGACCUGAGAGGGUGAUCGGCCACAUUGGGACUGAGACACGGCCCAAACUCCUACGGGAGGCAGCAGUAGGGAAUCUUCGGCAAUGGACGAAAGUCUGACCGAGCAACGCCGCGUGAGUGAAGAAGGUUUUCGGAUCGUAAAACUCUGUUGUUAGAGAAGAACAAGGAUGAGAGUAACUGUUCAUCCCUUGACGGUAUCUAACCAGAAAGCCACGGCUAACUACGUGCCAGCAGCCGCGGUAAUACGUAGGUGGCAAGCGUUGUCCGGAUUUAUUGGGCGUAAAGCGAGCGCAGGCGGUUUCUUAAGUCUGAUGUGAAAGCCCCCGGCUCAACCGGGGAGGGUCAUUGGAAACUGGGAGACUUGAGUGCAGAAGAGGAGAGUGGAAUUCCAUGUGUAGCGGUGAAAUGCGUAGAUAUAUGGAGGAACACCAGUGGCGAAGGCGGCUCUCUGGUCUGUAACUGACGCUGAGGCUCGAAAGCGUGGGGAGCAAACAGGAUUAGAUACCCUGGGUAGU